CGGACCUUCCGAGCAGGGGCGAAAGCCGGGCUAAGUGAUCCCACGGUUCCGUGUGGAAGGGCCGUGGCUUAUCGGAUAAAAGCUACCCCGGGG
rnacentral:rRNA from 1 species